GUACUUGCCAAGGCAGUACAUAUGAAAAAUUGGAAUCGAUACAGAGAAGAUUAGCAUGGCCCCUAGAUCAAGCGUAGUAUCUGUUCUUAUCUUUUCUCUUUU